AAUAUUGGACAAUGGCCGAAAGGCUGACGCAGCGACGCCGCGUGCGGGAGGACGCCCCUCGGGGUGUAAACCGCUGUCAGGAGGGACGAAGGCCCCGGGGAGGCAAUGCCCUGGGGAUUGACGGUACCUCCAGAGGAAGCACCGGCUAACUCCGUUCCAGCAGCCGCGGUAAUACGGAGGGUGCAAGCGUUGUCCGGAAUCAUUGGGCGUAAAGCGCACGUAGGCGGCUCUUUAAGUCUCUUGGUGAAAGGCUGGGGCUCAACCCCAUGCAUGCCGGGGAUACUGGGGGGCUUGAGACAGGUAGAGGCCAGCGGAAUUCCGGGUGUAGCGGUGGAAUGCGUAGAGAUCCGGAAGAACACCGGAGGCGAAGGCGGCUGGCUGGACCUGAUCUGACGCUGAGGUGCGAAAGCGUGGGGAGCGAACAGG
rnacentral:rRNA from 1 species